CCUACGGGAGGCUGCAGUGGGGAAUAUUGCACAAUGGGGGAAACCCUGAUGCAGCAACGCCGCGUGAGUGAAGAAGUAUUUCGGUAUGUAAAGCUCUAUCAGCAGUGAAUUGACGGUACCUGCAUAGGAAGCACCGGCUAACUCCGUGCCAGCAGCCGCGGUAAUCAGGAGGGUGCGAGCGUUAAUCGGAAUUACUGGGCGUAAAGCGCUCGUAGGCGGUAUGUCAAGUCAAGGGUGAAAUCCCCGCGCUCAACGUGGGAACUGCCUUUGAAACUGGCAAACUUGAGUGUGUGAGAGGAUAGUGGAAUUCGAGGUGUAGGAGUGAAAUCCGUAGAUAUCUGGAGGAACAUCAGUGGCGAAGGCGACUAUCUGGCACGUAACUGACGCUGAGGAGCGAAAGCGUGGGUAGCAAACAGGAUUAGAUACCCGUGUAGUC
rnacentral:rRNA from 1 species